GCAAGAGUGAUGCCUGUCAGAUGAUGGUGAGAUUCUUGCCAGGAUACUUGCCCAUCACUCAGCAUGAAUAGGAACUGUGAAGGUAGGAGGAUCCUGAGGCCCACAGGAGGGGAGUGGCAUAGAAAUAUUAUUAUUAUUAUUAUUAGCAUCAUCCUUCACUGGUGCAUGUGACUUGGCUAACUGGCUUGACUUGUUCACAGCUGUUGAUAGCUUGGCAGAUCCUCAGCUGUGGUCCCCAGAUUAUAUUUACUGUUGUGAAUAUCUGGUUGGUUACUAGGUUGAACAAUAUGGCCUUUCUGUGCCUCUAUUCUCUUAACUCUAAGGCUGUGUACACAUCACACCUUGAAGUCAUGGGGUCAUUCCAUUAAAUGUCAACCUACAGACUCAUCAUUCCCAAACAUGUUCUAGUUCAUUUUCAAGAGAAUUUCCCAAAGUUUCAAGAUCUUGUCACUGUGUGAAUUGGUUUUAACAGGUAGAAGAGUAUACGUUAAUGGAAAUUUAUCCCUCCAGAUACCCACAAAUGUGAGAUUAACAGAGGUUUAAAAUCCCCUCCUUGACAGCAAAACUGAAAGCUUAGGAAUUUGGCUGCAAAACCUUGUUUGUUUGUUUUUUAAAUGAUAUUUAUUGAAUUUUUUUUUUUAAAUUACAGAAAAAGACAAAGCAGAGAAAGAAAAGGAAAAAAAAAAAACAAGCCACAUCCAACAAUACAAAUUCAAAAAACAAAAAUACACCACAAACAGAUAAAAAUAAAACCAUCAUUCUCAAAUCUUCAA